rnacentral:tRNA from 1 species
UCCUGACUGGCUCAGUUGACAGAACAUGUGACUCCCAAUCUCAGGGCCAUGAGUUCAAGCCCCAUGUUAGGCA